rnacentral:tRNA from 1 species
UCCCUGGUGGUCCAGUGGUUAGGACUUGGUGAUUUCACUGCCAAGGGCCUGGGUUCAAUCCCUAGUUGGGUGA